GACUUGGUGAUUAUAGCGAGGUGCUCAGAACACGAUCCCAUUCCGAACUCGAACGUUAAACACCUCAGCGCCGAUGGUACUUUGUCUUAAGGCAUGGAAGAGUAGGUCGUUGCCAAGUCU
rnacentral:rRNA from 1 species